rnacentral:misc_RNA from 1 species
GACGGAGGGUGCUAGCGUUGUUCGGAAUCACUGGGCGUAAAGGGCGCGUAGGCGGCCCUGGCAGUCGGAUGUGAAAGCCCGGGGCUCAACCCCGGAACGGCAUCCGAUACUCCAGGGCUGGAGGCCGGAAGAGGAGGGUGGAAUACCCAGUGUAGAGGUGAAAUUCGUAGAUAUUGGGUGGAACACCGGUGGCGAAAGCGGCUCUCUGGUCCGGACCUGACGCUGAGGCGCGAAAGCGUGGGGAGCAAACAGG